GACGAACGCUGGCGGCGUGCUUAACACAUGCAAGUCGAACGGAAAGGCCCUGCUUUUGUGGGGUGCUCGAGUGGCGAACGGGUGAGUAACACGUGAGUAACCUGCCCUUGACUUUGGGAUAACUUCAGGAAACUGGGGCUAAUACCGGAUAGGAGCUCCUGCUGCAUGGUGGGGGUUGGAAAGUUUCGGUGGUUGGGGAUGGACUCGCGGCUUAUCAGCUUGUUGGUGGGGUAGUGGCUUACCAAGGCUUUGACGGGUAGCCGGCCUGAGAGGGUGACCGGCCACAUUGGGACUGAGGUACGGCCCAGACUCCUACGGGAGGCAGCAGUGGGGAAUAUUGCACAAUGGGCGGAAGCCUGAUGCAGCAACGCCGCGUGCGGGAUGACGGCCUUCGGGUUGUAAACCGCUUUCGCCUGUGACGAAGCGUGAGUGACGGUAAUGGGUAAAGAAGCACCGGCUAACUACGUG
rnacentral:rRNA from 1 species